rnacentral:rRNA from 1 species
GAUGAACGCUGGCGGCGUGCCUAAUACAUGCAAGUCGAGCGAACGGACGAGAAGCUUGCUUCUCUGAUGUUAGCGGCGGACGGGUGAGUAACACGUGGAUAACCUACCUAUAAGACUGGGAUAACUUCGGGAAACCGUAGCUAAUACCGGAUAAUAUUUUGAACCGCAUGGUUCAAAAGUGAAAGACGGUCUUGCUGUCACUUAUAGAUGGAUCCGCGCUGCAUUAGCUAGUUGGUAAGGUAACGGCUUACCAAGGCAACGAUGCAUAGCCGACCUGAGAGGGUGAUAGGCCACACUGGAAAUGAGACACGGUCCAGACUCCUACGGGAGGCAGCAGUAGGGAAUCUUCCGCAAUGGGCGAAAGCCUGACGGAGCAACGCCGCGUGAGUGAUGAAGGUCUUCGGAUCGUAAAACUCUGUUAUUAGGGAAGAACAUAUGUGUAAGUAACUGUGCACAUCUUGACGGUACCUAAUCAGAAAGCCACGGCUAACUACGUG